CAUGUUCCAACGCAUCUUGCCAUUAUUCUAAUUCAAAGAGUACGACAAAAAGACUAUGCUCACAUGUUAGAGAGAUUGGAUUGGUGAGAUUCUACACAUUGAGAGAAAACAAGUAGUAGAUGACGCCAAAACAUUGAAAUUCGAGGAAGCAAAACAUAUAGUAAUUCAUUAAUUCAAUCUAACAAAAUAAAAAUACUAGAACAACUAUACCAAAAAAAAAAAAACUAAAACAAAACAAUGAACAUUUUUUUCUUCUUCUUUCUCUUACAACAUUGUUCAUCAUCUUAAAAAUACAUAUAAGAAUCUCUUUAUGAUAAUCAUUCUUCCAUUUCUGCAAUCACCUAACAAUUUCAAUUCUAACUUUGCAAAAUCAACUCAAAACAUGAAUUCAAAACUCAGAUCAUCUGAUUUUGAUUGAACGAUUCAGAUCUAGAACCACCUUAUUAUGAUACCAUAUAACAAUCCACUUCCUUGAUACUAUUCCAAAGAUUCAAGUCCUUGAACAAAAAGUUGAGCAAAUUCCUCCAUUUGUUGCUUGUUCAAAGCCAAACCAAUCUCAACGCCACCAUCAUUAUUCUUACUUUCACUAAGAGAAAAUGCUCCUGUUUUAUCAAUAGAAG
rnacentral:lncRNA from 1 species